GUCGUAUCAGUGCUGAUAGCGUAGAACGCAGAUCCAUACUGAAGAGGAAACAUGGCAGCCGAACAUAUACACACAGCUGAAAAGAGCUUUCAACAUGGACGAAGAUUCCCGCACCGUAAAUUUCACUCGUCUUCCGAGAACUAUCUUACAGUGAGUUGGCAAAUGAUUCCAUCGCUUGGCUGAACACUCUGCAGUCUUGUUCACUUCACGAAGAAACCUUCGCAUACAGAACUGCGCUGAUAAAAUGAACGGGGAUUUGCUGUCUUUUGAAUAAAGCCUUUCAGUUUUAUAAUACUUUCCCUUACACCGGAAAGAUAAUCGGAGCGGAACAUGAUGUUAAUUAUUGCAAGAUGUAAGAAAGCAUAACAGGGGUAAAAAGUACGAAUGAAUAGCAAAGAAGUAAAGAGCUUUCCAACUUAGUCUGCUAUGGUUUAAAAAGCAAUUACUGUAUUCAGCUUUAACCUAAUUAAGUAAAGUUUAAUUUUGAGCGCAGACAAAAAUUAAUUCAAAUAAAUUUAUUUUCUUACUAAUACAUAGAAACUGAGGAUUAAAUGCAGCUAAUACUGUAUGGAAAUCUAGGAAGCUUUUGAAGAACAGAAUACAUGGAAUGCCAGUUUGCUGAAUGUGAAGUUCAGAAUACUAUUUUAAAAUAGUUUUAUGCCUCUAUUAUGUUAUAUGUUUCUUAUUCUAUAAACAUCAUUGCAGUCCACCGCAAAGUUCACCGUCAUUGCAGUCCACCGUUUGUAUACUUGUGCAUGGUGAGAUAAUGGACAUUGAAAUGUUAAAAUAACUACAUUGUGCUUAGAAAAAGGCUAAAUAUUUGUAAAUUGUAUCAUUUGAAUUUUGUGAAGAAAUGAGUAAUAUCAUAUUUAAAUUAUGCUCUUUAAAUUUGAACAACACGAUUUAUAGCAAACAUUUUUAAAUAUAAACGCUAACUGUUGCAACUGAGCUAAGUAAAAACGUAAAAAUGCCGGUAAUAUAUCAGUUACCGCACAUCUGUUGUGGAAUAUUCGCUUCUGUAUUAGUUGCUUCGUAGUACAUUCAACAGAAAAAUAAAAGUCUUUUGGUGAUUUUGCA